UGUGCUUGUCUCAUUUUCUUCUGCAUCUUCAUAGUGCAGGUCUUAGUCUUGCCAAAAACCACCGUUCUUGGAGUUUCGUUCGGGACGGCCUUCCUGCUGCUCGCCUUGAUCCUCGCCAUUUGUUUUGCUGGUCACAUACUGACCCUCAUCUUGUUAGAGAAAUGCCAUACCGGGAGGAAAAAACACCAUAUCAAAACAAGAUUGAAAUUUCCUUGUUUUAACCCCAGGAACAACACUCUUUCGCUGCUCUUAGAGAGCGUCGUCUAUAAUCAAAUUACCAGCUACUUUGGACCUGUGGAACAUAAAUGGCUUAAGUAAAUGUCAGCUGUAUGUCUCUCUAUUUUCUUUCUCCUGCUCUUUCUUCUUUAAUAUAUUAUGAAAGCUUAGAGCGAAAUGGCUUAUUCAAUAUUCAAAGGCCAGUAGAUUCACUCAUGGGAAAUCUGUCAAGAACAUGUUCUGGUCGUAUUCCACCAUGAAAUCAGAAGAAAAUUAAGCCUUUUUUAUGACCGCUAAGGUUUAUCGUAUUGUAAUAUUAAUUAAUUUCAAGCAGAUAUUAUUUAAAUUAUAUUUCUAAACUAAUGUUCAGUGUGACUUUUAUAUGGAAAAAAACAUUGCUUCAUAAUUUAAAUAAAUGCUGUUCUUUUGAACUCUCAGAAUCAUAAAAAAUGUAUUGCAGCACAGCUGUUUUCAACAUUGCAAAUAAUAUGAAUUCUUCUCAAGGAUCAGAUCAGCAUAUUAGAAAGAUAUCUGGAUCAUAGGAUCAUGUGACACGGAAAACUGGUGUAAUUAUGCUGAAAAUUCAACUUUGCAUCGCAGGAAUGAAUGAAUGCAGCCCUUUUGUCCGGACUCUUUAGAAAAUGUAAAAGACCUCUUUUCAAAAACAUCUUGCCAUCCCCAGAGCUUUUUGAACAGCAGUGUGCGUCAUGUUAGUAUUUGUUAUACUGCAUUAUUUUCUUUUUACAUUUAUUUUGCUUCUACGUUACAAAAUCAUUGUAUUACUGUAUUAUUACAUUUCCAUACCGAGAGUCUAUUGAGUAUGAACUUUGAGAUUGCUAAGAACUACUGAAAAAAUGAUCAUUGGAAUUUGGGGUCAUAAUGCAAAACCAUCACAAUGCUAUAAUUAUUAAUUUUAAAAAUAGGCUUCAGUAUUUGGCGGGAGGCUUUGACAGAUUGAAGCUCGUACGCUAUGUGAAAUUCCUAGUAUGAUUAGCGUAACGUGUUUUUCUGUAUAUUGAGGCAUUAUUUGUUAUAUUUUUAGAAGACAUGACCUUUUAUAGAUCUUGAAGGGUUUUUAUGACAUUCACCCACUAGCUAGCCUUGAUUUGUCCAUUAAUUAACCAAACCGUUUCAGCUGAAGAUUCAGAAUUCAUGAUGGUUAAAAAAAAUAGGCCACAUUGAAGGGUGACAUUGCUUUAGUCCCCAAACCCUUCUCUUUUUAUGUUUUUGUGUCAGAAGAAAAGAAGCUUGAAUGAUGAUACUUUUUACUGAGCUGUUUGUUGUUUCUUUUUCAUGCUGUAAACUAAAGCCCUUAUGGGUUUGGGGAUUGCGUGGCCAUUUUUAUAAAACUCUAGCGCUCACUCUUUUGGUUUCACAGACAACCGUCAAAAGUCAUAAGUGCCUGGAGCUCUAUGGAGUUUAGUUAAGAGUCUUUCUCAGUUUUGUUUCCCAUUUAUCUGAGGUUAGAGUUCACAUUCGGCCCACAGAUUUACAAAUAUAAAAGAGGGGUUAAGGUUAUCCAGUAGCAGUACUGUGUUUAAAUAUCGAAAGCUAUUUUUUGUAUAGAUGAUGCAACUUGACGCAUGAUAGAUUGGUGAGAGGGUUUCUCUACCUCUUUUGCUUCUUUUUAAUUUAAACCCAAAGCAUUCUUGCACAGGGUCUAGGUUAAGUGUUUUGUAAAGUGCUGUUCCACGGCAGCUCCUGACAAUGCAGCAUAAACUACUAAAGGUUACACAGCCCCUCUAUUAGUACUGCAAUCAGUACAAGGUGAGUUUUACAAAUAGAUGUUUCUUCAAGGCCGCAAAGUCUUAUUUCAGAUAAAAAGAGUUUGAUCUGUUUUCAUUCAGUUUACAUUUAGCUUGAAUUGAUAGUUUGUUUUGCAGAUUAAUAUUCUGUCCCUAUUUAGUCACCCUCGUGUCAAAUUUCAAAACCUACUGUUUUCUCUGUGCAAAACAAUCACCUUGGGGUUUUUUUUUAGCCUUCUUCAAAACCCCUGAAAAUGGGUUGGCAGUUGAUGCUAAAUUGUAAUCUUAUUGAAAAAACUAAUUGAAAACACAAACAAUGAAAGACUCCACAGGGGGAAAACCCCCAUACCAGCUAUGUUUCAGAAGGGAAGAAGUGCUUAAUUUAGUCAAUUGCAUUUUUAUGGAAAUUAUGGAAAUAAAAUGGGUUGUGAAUGACGUUUUAUGCUGACUUCCUCUUUCAAGUUGAUAUAGAUGAUUUUUGUGUUAUAUAUUCGCUCACUGUGAAGUUAUGUUUAUUAAUGUGUCUCUGACUUGUGGGUCACAAUCAUAACCUUGAGCAUUUGGAAGAGAAGCGGAUAUGCUAAUGACGUUGGUGGGAGUUAAGCUUGUUUUUUUUUUACAUUUCUCUUGUUG